GGGGAGAGCACUGGAUUGUGGCAAACGGGACCUCUUUGUGUGAGCAACCAAGGGGACUACGAGCCCACAGUGUGACUGACCUUCAGCCAGGGUCCUCCUGUCACCUGCGGAAGGUUCAGAGAUGACAAGGAAAAUCUUCAUUACCAUUUCAAGAACUGGGAACAAAGAAAAAUCCCGUUCCAGGACGCAAAGGAGGAGAUGCGGGUAGCUGAACAGAAACUUUUGAAGAUUACCAUGGGAAUACACCUGUGAACUUCCAGGGAAUAGGAACAGCUCCGGACUACAGCUCCCAGCGUGAGCGACGCAGAAGACGGGUGAUUUCUGCAUUUCCAUCUGAGGUACCGGGUUCAUCUCACUAGGGAGUGCCAGACAGUGGGCGCAGGUUUGAUCUCAGUUACUCCCUUACUUGAAGAAGGCUUCGAUGAUUCCUCAUGGAGAAAUCCCAGAUACUUCUGCACAUGAUUCAGAGGUCCCUUACAACUGGCUUCAGCCUGCCUUCCAAGCCCUGUCUCUCGCCUCUCCCUUCCUUCACACUGUGCUUCAGCGAGGUAGGAAUGCUUGUGAUUCACCUUCCAGGUCAAGAUGAUUGGCCCCUCGGCCUUCACAUAUGCUGUUCCCUCUGCUGUUCCCCAUGCUGCCCCCAGGGAGCUGCCCAUCACCCGCCAGGACCUUCCUGCCCUGGGUGCACCCAUAGUGCUUUGUGCCUUUCUCUUUCUUGCCACUUGCCACAUUUUACUGUAGUUAUUUGUUUAUAAUUACAAAUAUAAACCU
rnacentral:lncRNA from 10 species